ACACCUAAGAUAUAGUUCACCAGCAGCAAAUCAACAGGAAAGCAGAGGGAAUACUAAGGUGGUCGCCGGCUGCUAGCCACAAGCUUCACUGACAAACCCAAACUUUAGAUGAAGUUAGGCCAAGACUUGCUAAAUUUACUAAGAAAA